rnacentral:rRNA from 1 species
UACGGAGGGUGCAAGCGUUAAUCGGAAUUACUGGGCGUAAAGCGCACGUAGGUGGUUUGUUAAGCCAGCUGUGAAAGCCCUGGGCUCAACCUGGGAAUGGCAGUGGAUACUGGAAGGCUGGAGUACGGUAGAGGAGGGUGGAAUUCCCGGUGUAGCGGUGAAAUGCGUAGAGAUCGGGAGGAACAUCAGUGGCGAAGGCGGCCUGCUGGACCAGUACUGACGCUGAGGCACGAAAGCGUGGGGAGCAAACAGG